UCCCCUUUUUUCUCUCCACCCACGUAAGUGUGGAAAGAGGGGUUCCUCUUCUUCAUCAUGCAAAACAAAAAAGGGUGAGAGAAAGAUACAUAAUAGUUUUGUAUUUUUGAGAUAUCUCAAAUCUCUCUCUUCCUCUCAAUCUCUUUCUUUCCCUCAAAAUCCAAAAUCACCAGAGUUCUCACUCCUCCUAGGUUCUCACUAGAGAAUACCGAGGUCUCUUUGCAGCAGUGCCCAUUUGGCCAUUUACAGUUCGUGACUGAUCGUGGGAAAGGAUUCGUAAAGUUUUGAGUUCUUCAAUGUGUCUUGAGAACAGUUAGAUAGAUUCUUCAAAGUCAUCACAACGGACACGGAAUCAGACACUGCUGAAUCACCAUUUUCAAACUUCCCCGAAUUGAGAAGUGAAGAGACCAAAGAAUCAAAGAUGAAGAAGAAAACUCACUCAAGUCAUUCUUCAUGCUCAUGGUACUUUUGAAUGAUUUGGAAUUUUAUGUAACAAACCAAUAGUUAUUAUUAAACUUGGACAUUUUAUUGAACUUGGAAUGAUUAUUAUUGAACUUUGUGUCUUUGAGUAGAGAUUUUGAACUUGAACAUUUGAAUUGAA